rnacentral:rRNA from 1 species
AUUGAACGCUAGCGGGAUGCUUUACACAUGCAAGUCGAACGGCAGCACAGAGGAACUUGUUCCUUGGGUGGCGAGUGGCGGACGGGUGAGUAAUGUAUCGGAACGUGCCCAGUAGUGGGGGAUAACUACGCGAAAGCGUGGCUAAUACCGCAUAUUCUCUACGGAGGAAAGGGGGGGAUCAUUUGACCUCUCGCUAUUGGAGCGGCCGAUAUUAGAUUAGCUAGUUGGUGGGGUAACGGCCUACCAAGGCGAUGAUCUAUAGCUGGUUUGAGAGGACGACCAGCCACACUGGGACUGAGACACGGCCCAGACUCCUACGGGAGGCAGCAGUGGGGAAUUUUCGACAAUGGGGGGAACCCUGAUCGAGCCAUCCCGCGUGUGGGACGAAGGCCUUCGGGUUGUAAACCACUUUUCUCAACGAAGAAAAGCCUUAGACUAAUACUCUGAGGUG